GAAGAAGUUGGCGCCAACAGCCACACUUUGCCUCCUUUUUUGGCGUACCUCACAGUUCCAAGCUGGCAAAAACCACUGGAUUACAAGAGUGUCUUUGGAAUAAAAUCGCCAUACUUUCUACUGUUGUAAGGUUGCAAGAGCUAUGCCUUUAAGAAGAAGGUACAACACAGCCAACCAGGUACAUCCAUCUGUGAGUGCUGAUGGCAGUGCUGGAUCUGCACAGGUGGAACAACUUGACAAUGUAGAGGGUAAAGGAGAAACACCAGGAACUCCAUCUACGUUGGCUCCAACUGCUACAGCAAUAAUUCAGCAGCUAAGAGACAAAAUUACUGUCCUUGAAGAUGAAAGAAAUUUCCUCAGAGAACAGCUGAAAAAAGCACUGGAUAACAUCCCUACUACUUCAGCAAAACGACAUCAUUCCCCCUCAAGUUCCAGUUCCUCAGAUUCAUCAGCCUCAGACUCUGAGUCGU